GAUGAACGUUGGCGGCGUGCCUAAUACAUGCAAGUCGAACGGAGACGGUAGCAAUACGGUCUCAGUGGCGAACGGGUGAGUAACGCGUUGGUGACCUGCCCCGAAGUGUGGAAUAACAGAUCGAAAGAGCUGCUAAUACCGCAUAAUAUCCAGAGGAUUAGAUGCCUUUGGAUUAAAGGAUUUAUUCGCUUCGGGAGGGGCCUGCGUCCCAUCAGCUAGUUGGUAAGGUAAUGGCUUACCAAGGCGAUGACGGGUAGGGGACCUGAGAGGGUGGCCCCCCACAAUGGAACUGAAACACGGUCCAUACACCUACGGGUGGCAGCAGUAGGGAAUAUUAGUAAUGGGCGAAAGCCUGAACUAGCAACGCCGCGUGUGCGAAGAAGGCCUUGGGUCGUAAAGCACUUUUUGAGAGGAUGAGGAAGGACGGUACUCUCAGAAUAAGUCUCGGCUAACUACGUG
rnacentral:rRNA from 1 species